rnacentral:rRNA from 1 species
UACGAACCGUGCGAACGUUGUUCGGAAUCACUGGGCUUAAAGGGCGCGUAGGCGGGUUCUCAAGUCAGGGGUGAAAUCUUUCGGCUUAACCGGAAAGGUGCCCCUGAUACUGAGAGUCUCGAGGGAGGUAGGGGCAUGUGGAACUAAUGGUGGAGCGGUGAAAUGCGUAGAUAUCAUUAGGAACGCCGGUGGCGAAAGCGACGUGCUGGACCUCUUCUGACGCUGAGGCGCGAAAGCUAGGGGAGCAAACGGG